GGACCUGCCCAGUGAUAUAAUACAUUUAACGGCCGCAGUACCCUGACUGUGCAAAGGUAGCAUAAUCAUUUGCCCUAUAAUUGAGGGCUAGUAUGAAUGGUUUGACAAGAACAUGACUGUCUCUUGUGAGAUAAAUAGAAAUUAAAUUUUAGGUGAAGAUGCCUAAAUAUAACUAAAAGACGAGAAGACCCUGUUGAGCUUUAAAAACUUCAAGGACACCUAAAGAGUUUUUUUGGUUGGGGCGACCUAGGAACAUAUAAAGCUUCUUUUAUUAUUUGAAACAUCUAGUUAUGAUCCAGUAAAACUGAUUAAUAAAAUAAGCUACCACAGGGAUAAC
rnacentral:rRNA from 1 species